CGUACACUCCUACGGGAGGCAGCAGUGGGGAAUCUUGCGCAAUGGGCGAAAGCCUGACGCAGCCAUGCCGCGUGAAUGAUGAAGGUCUUAGGAUUGUAAAAUUCUUUCACCGGGGACGAUAAUGACGGUACCCGGAGAAGAAGCCCCGGCUAACUUCGUGCCAGCAGCCGCGGUAAUACGAAGGGGGCUAGCGUUGCUCGGAAUUACUGGGCGUAAAGGGAGCGUAGGCGGACAUUUAAGUCAGGGGUGAAAUCCCGGGGCUCAACCUCGGAAUUGCCUUUGAUACUGGGUGUCUUGAGUAUGAGAGAGGAGUGUGGAACUCCGAGUGUAGAGGUGAAAUUCGUAGAUAUUCGGAAGAACACCAGUGGCGAAGGCGACACACUGGCUCAUUACUGACGCUGAGGCUCGAAAGCGUGGGGAGCAAACAGGAUUAGAAACCCCAGUAGUCCCAUGA
rnacentral:rRNA from 1 species